rnacentral:rRNA from 1 species
UACGUAGGGUGCGAGCGUUAAUCGGAAUUACUGGGCGUAAAGCGUGCGUAGGCGGUUCGUCAAGUCUGAUGUGAAAUUCCCGGGCUUAACCUGGGGGCUGCAUUUGAGACGUGUUGUCUAGAGUGAGGAAGAGGGUUGUGGAAUUCCCAGUGUAGAGGUGAAAUGCGUAGAUAUUGGGAGGAACACCAGUGGCGAAGGCGGCUCGCUGGACCGGAACUGACGCUGAGGCGCGAAAGCGUGGGGAGCAAACAGG